UACGUAGGGUGCAAGGCGUUAUCCGGAAUUAUUGGGCGUAAAGAGCUCGGUUAAGGCGGUUUGUCGCGUCUGCUGUGAAAACUGGAGGCUCAACCUCCAGCCUGCAGUGGGUACGGGCAGACUAGAGCGCGGUAGGGGAGAUUGGAAUUCCUGGUGUAGCGGUGGAAUGCGCAGGAUAAUCAGGAGGAACACCAGUGGUCGAAGGCGGUGACUCUGGGCC
rnacentral:rRNA from 1 species